CCUUGGCACAUUAUCAGUACAGUCUAAUUUCACACAAUCCACUUCUGCACCUGAGCGUGACAUUGGAUCCCUCAAAACUUAAUUCUGAUCGUUCUUUUGAGUUCCCAACAGUAAAAAGCGAUGAUUCGUGACGCACAAGCAUGGCACGUCAGUGUUCUCAUGAAGAAGUUAACGGAGGGUGUAACAAAGAACGAAAAUAAAAACUAUAGAAUACUCAAGUAAUACAGUUAAAACUUAAGAAUAAUAAAAUAAAAGGCGGCAAAUCAUAAGGAAUAAUAAAAAGCGGAGUAUGGGUCAU
rnacentral:lncRNA from 1 species